GGGCACUCAAGGGAACCAAGGCGAACACCUGUAUGAGACUCAUAAUCCAUUGGUCGCAGGUUCGAAUCCUGCAGGGCCCACCA
rnacentral:tRNA from 1 species